AUAAAAACAGCAGAUCAACCAAACCAAACCAAACCAAAAAUACACAAAACGAGAAACCACUUUUUCAUACAUAAUGUUUUUUUUUUUUCUUCCGUCCUUCUCUCGUCUACUUUUAUUUAUUCAUACUUUUUUCUUUGCAUCAGCUAAUUGGC
rnacentral:ribozyme from 13 species